AUCAAUAUAUCGUUUAUACAUCAGUAUACAAUAAUGCCUUCUGCUUAGCUUAUAGCUGGAGUGCGGUCUAAAUAUGUGAACAAACGUUCUUGCAGCAUCAUCCCGGAGGAUGGGAGAAGGAAGGCUUAUGCAGAAGCCCUUGCAAAAGCCAGGAAAGAGGAAGAGGCUACAAGAGCAACAGAGAAAUCUCGUCUAGCUGCGGAAGCAGCAAAGAUGCGCAAAGAAGAGUUAAAGAAACUUGCAAAGCAGGAAGCUGAGGCGGCCAGUUUUGCAGAACAAGCCCAAGAGAAGGCGGCUGCUGCAGGAGUUUCAGUUGAGAGCCUCUUAAGUAAAGCCCAAGGCAUAAGCUCAGGACUAUCUUGGGAAAACCUGAGCUCACAGCUGAAAUCAGCUGUUCAGCAACCUGCGGAAGCAGCAAAGAUGCGCAAAGAAGAGUUAAAGAAACUUGCAAAGCAGGAAGCUGAGGCUGCCAGUUUUGCAGAACAAGCCCAAGAGAAGGCGGCUGCUUCAGGAGUUUCAGUUGAGAGCCUCUUAAGUAAAGCCCAAGGCAUAAGCUCAGGACUAUCUUGGGAAAACCUGAGCUCACAGCUGAAAUCAGCUGUUCAGCAACCGGGCGAGGACUCUAAAGUGCAGGUCGCUACUGUGAGGGGUCAGGGUAGGGCUCGAAAUCUGCCUGCCCAAAAAGCUGUAGUCAAAAAAUCUGCUUCCUUAAAAUCAAGGGAGGUUCCAAAGCCAAAGGCCAAACAACCAGAGUCCAAGACAGAGGUCAGAAAGGUUUUUGGCGGGUUGUUUCAGCAAGAAACCAUUUAUGUUGAUGAUGACUAAGAAGAUUGGAGCUACAUAUAUUCUAUUCUCUGUGACUUUUUCAUCUGCCUGUGUGUUCAUUAUUGAUGCUGGGUUAAGUUGGUUUUGACAGAACGAGCUAGAAUGGAGCACAUUUUUGCACAGUGGUAAGACUUCGAAGAAUUGCUAUUUAUCAGAUAGUGGCAUAUUUGUGGACUCUGAGUUGUACUACAGACUUCCAGCUUGUUGUAACAAAUACUUAAAUGUUUAAAUCGAGAUUCCAACACAUACAGCCGA
rnacentral:lncRNA from 1 species